rnacentral:rRNA from 1 species
CCUACGGGGGGCAGCAGUGAGGAAUAUUGGUCAAUGGACGAGAGUCUGAACCAGCCAAGUAGCGUGAAGGAUGACUGCCCUAUGGGUUGUAAACUUCUUUUAUAUGGGAAUAAAAUGUUCCACGUGUGGGAUUUUGUAUGUACCAUAUGAAUAAGGAUCGGCUAACUCCGUGCCAGCAGCCGCGGUAAUACGGAGGAUCCGAGCGUUAUCCGGAUUUAUUGGGUUUAAAGGGAGCGUAGGUGGAUUGUUAAGUCAGUUGUGAAAGUUUGCGGCUCAACCGUAAAAUUGCAGUUGAAACUGGCAGUCUUGAGUACAGUAGAGGUGGACGGAAUUCGUGGUGUAGCGGUGAAAUGCUUAGAUAUCACGAAGAACUCCGAUUGCGAAGGCAGUUCACUGGACUGCAACUGACACUGAGGCUCGAAAGUGUGGGUAUCAAACAGGAUUAGAUACCCCUGUAGUC